CCCACUUGGUUCCAGGUUGGCCGAAGCUCUUCUGAGAAUGACGCCAAUGCAAGAAAGAGCCGGAUGGACAUCACCGUGACUUUACGCUAGUAUCUAAACCGCUCUGUGCUCCGGUGUCCUCAUCUGCAACGUGGGGAGAAGAAACGUGUCAAUGAAUUAUCGCACGGAAGGUGCUGGGGCUAGAGCUGGCACAGAAUUCUGCUUGAAAUCCCACUAUGGGGGCCAGCGAGUGGCGUGGUGGUUACGGUGCUGAACUCCCUCAUGGCCUCACGGUUUGAGUCCUGGACCUGGCAGCUUGCGUUCUCAUUUUCUCUCUCUUUCUGAAAAAGAAAAAACGAUGAGAACAGGAAGCAGAGCCUGGGUUGCCUGGAGCUGAGAGCAGGAUGACUACGAAGAGGUGUGAGGGAUUGGUUUUGGGUGAGAAUGUUGUAAAAUUGGGUUGUGGGGAUAACUACACAACUGAAUAAACAUUGAAACUCAUUGUACACUCAAAACGGGUGCAUUUAAUGGGAUGUAAAUUACGCCUCAA